rnacentral:rRNA from 1 species
GUCUUUACUGACGCUGAGGCACGAAAGCGUGGGGAGCAAACAGGAUUAGAUACCCUGGUAGUCCACGCCCUAAACGAUGAGUACUAAACGUUGGAUAAAACCAGUGUUGAAGUUAACACAUUAAGUACUCCGCCUGAGUAGUACGUACGCAAGUAUGAAACUUAAAGGAAUUGACGGGACUCCGCACAAGCGGUGGAUCAUGUUGUUUAAUUCGAAGGUACCCGAAAAACCUCACCAGGUCUUGACAUGCUUUUGCAAAGCUGUAGAAAUACAGUGGAGGUUAUCAAAAGCACAGGUGGUGCAUGGUUGUCGUCAGCUCGUGUCGUGAGAUGUUGGGUUAAGUCCCGCAACGAGCGCAACCCUUGUUGUUAAUUGCCAUCAUUAAGUUGGGGACUUUAGCAAGACUGCCAAUGAUAAAUUGGAGGAAGGUGGGGACGACGUCAAAUCAUCAUGCCCCUUAUGACCUGGGCUACAAACGUGAUACAAUGGCUGUUACAAAGGGUAGCUGAGG